UCUAUAUUAAAACCUUUACCUAGAACACCUCAGUAUUUGGUCUUAUAAUUUUAGAUUUGUUUGUUGAACUAAAUUAAAUCUUGUAUCAGUGUUCUUCAAUUGUUCUUCUAUUAUUUGCCUCUCUUGAUAGUUGAUACUGUAGUUGCAACUUUCCCUUGAAGCUUGUCCUGUAUUACAAUAUAUAUCUGUAAGUAGAAGGACAGGUUAAAUUGAGCGUUAUUCAGUUACUGAAAACUAGAUAUGCUUAUCUUUGUAAAAUUGAUUAUGAAGCCAAUUCUAUUGUGUGAUUUCUCCAUUGUUAGCUGCUGUUAGCUUUGAAGCAGCCUUUUUUUAUUUUUUAUUUUAUUUUUCUCUUUCUUUCUGUGACAAAGUUAAGUUUUUUCUUAUCUUGAUAUCUCUUACUUUCAGGGUGUGCAUGUGACAUUGCGUUUUAGAUGCCAAAGAACUUUCUAAUUAUUGAAAUCUCGUCCGACACUUAAACGGGAUGUUUAGUUGAAAUAUUUGAUUAUUCUCAUGUCCCUGGUCAAGCUUUGCUUCAUCGAGGGCGUCAUCGACAUGGUGCCCGUCCUACAACAUCUGGGCAAAGGAUUAAUUUGCUUUUAUGGUGCAGAAGUUCGGUAUUUCGAGAGAUGAAAAAGUAUCAAAAGGACUUCUCUGGCUGGUGUGGUUUGUGCCAGCGUGAAAGGAAGGAAAGACAGCGUCAAUCUGUUGUUGCCACCAAACUGGCAUUCCUUCGCAGUGGAGGAGGGCCCCUUAACUGAAGUAGGUCUUUUGUAAUUUAUACCGGGUGAUUGUAGAAUCGAGUCUCUUGUCAUAUUGCCUACCCGGCUCUUAGAGGCUCUUGAUGCUAUCAGGUCUGUUUAUUUUGUUGUUUUACAAAGAAUGUUUUGUAUAUACAAGAUGUUUUAUUUUUAAGGGAUUAUUGUUAAAUCUUGAAUC